CACUCUAGAGAGACUGCCAGGGAUAACCUGGAGGAAGGUGGGGAUGACGUCAAAUCAUCAUGCCCCUUAUGCUUAGGGCUACACACGUGCUACAAUGGGUAGUACAGAGGGUUGCCAAGCCGUAAGGCGGAGCUAAUCCCUUAAAGCUACUCUCAGUUCGGAUUGUAGGCUGAAACUCGCCUACAUGAAGCUGGAGUUACUAGUAAUCGCAGAUCAGAAUGCUGCGGUGAAUGCGUUCCCGGGUCUUGUACACACCGCCCGUCACACCACGGGAGGUGGAGACGCCCGAAGCCGAUUAUCUAACCUUUUGGAAGAAGUCGUCGAAGGUGGAAUCAAUAACUGGGGUGAAGUCGUAACAAGGUAGCCGUAUCGGAAGGUGCGGCUGGAUCACCUCCUUUCUAAGGAGA
rnacentral:rRNA from 1 species